UAAUUAAUUUUUAUUAAUAUAAUUUUCUCGAACUUGGAAGAGUUACUUAAAUAUAAAUAUUACUGUUGUAUAAAUAUUUAUAAUAUUUAGUUAGUAAUGAAACGUUAUUCGUUUUCAAAUAUAUCUAGUUUUCUGAGAAAUAGAUUUAAUCUAGUUUUUAAUAAAAAAUGAAUUUAUUUAAUAUUUUAUUUUUUUUAGGAAUAAAUUUUUUAGGGGAUGAGCUUUAAUUAAUAUUUUUAAAAAUUUCUUUUGUUUAAAGUUUUGUAGGAUUAGAAGUUUUUAUCUUUUAAAUAAUGUUAUAUUUUUUCUUUUUAAUAUUAUUAUUUUUAUAUAAAAUUUUAAGUUUUUUAUCAGAAUGAAAAUAAGAAUUUUUAUUGUUUUGUAAUUAUGAUAAAAUUAGUAUAUUUUAAUUGUUAAAGGAAUCUUUAUAUUAGGUUAUUAAAAGGAAUUCGGCAAAUUAUUUUUCACCUGUUUAUUAAAAACAUGUCCUUUUGAUUAUAAUUUGAGGUCUAGUCUGCCCACUGAGGAGUUUAAAGGCCGCGGUAUUUU
rnacentral:rRNA from 1 species